rnacentral:tRNA from 1 species
GUGGGAGUAGCUCAGUUGGUAGAGCGCCAGGUUGUGGCCCUGGUGGUCGCGGGUUCAAAUCCCGUCUCUCACC